AGACGUGUGCCUGGGCCAACCCACAAGGGGCUCUCCACAAACACCAGCUUCAUGGACACCAACCAGGCGAAGAUUGGAAGGUCUCUCGAACCUCAAUGGACAGGACCUCACACACUAAUCCUCACCACCCCCUUGGCUGCCAAGCUCUUGGGACACCCAUGUUGGUACCAUCUCUCCAGGCUCAAGCGGACACCUGCCUUCUCACCUCCCCCAAGGAACAGAUUCCUGCCUUCUCUGGGAUGACAGUUCAUGGGAUGCCUCUCCAGCCACACCUCUCGCUGAACAUGGACACCUUGCUCUCACCUUCCCCACAUUGCCCCAUGCCUGCAGGAAGUAUCCAGAUUUGAGUCUAUCUCCUUUUUUCCCAAAGAGAGCCUAAAUGUUUGUCAUAAUUAUCACUUCAAUGUCCUGUCAUCCCUAUAUCUAAAGAGUCUGGAAUGCUAAGUUGGGAGCAUAGGCCCAGGCACCUCGCAUCUAUCCCAGCCCCCAAGCCUGAGAGUUAUAUUGGUCUGGGCUCCAAAUCCCAGCAGACCAGGUCCUGACCCUGAGAGUUAUAUUGGUCUGGACUCCAAAUCCCAGCAGGUCAGGUCCUGACCCCUCCCUGGUGGGGGGGGGAGGGUCAGGACCACUCCUACAGUAUUUAAAUGAACUCCCAAAAGAGGAACACUUGGUUUAUUUUUCUUCCUCCUGCUGGUUGUGUUCAUGGCCUCCUGGUUCCCCCUUGGGGCCACCCAAGAGUGCAGAACUCCCAUUAAACCUGGAUAUUUCUUUUUUAAAAAGAAAAUAUGUAUUUAUUUAUUAUGUAUACAAUAUUCUGUCUGUGUGUAUGCCUGCACCAGACCUCAUUACAGAUGGUUGUGAGCCACCAUGUGGUGCUGGGAAUUGAACUCAGGACCUUUGGAAGAGCAGGCAAUGUUCUUUAGCUCUGAGCCAUCUCUCCAGCCCAAACCUGGAUAUAUCUUAAUUUGGCUUGUUUUGAUUUGGCUUGAUUAGGAUUUUGCAUUGGC